AUGUAAUGUAAUGCCUACAACAUUAAUGCAAUGGAUCCCAUUAGAACUCUGCAAUUAAGUGCACUUGGACUAGAGUAGUACUAGGAUGGGUGACCUCCCGAGAAGUCCUAGUGUUUUACAUG
rnacentral:rRNA from 1 species